rnacentral:misc_RNA from 1 species
AAAAACCGUGAAGAGGCAAGGAGGAAAAAGAUCAGCGGGAAAAUUCGUGGUGCUGAAACAAGAAAGCCAACAAGAAAACCUGGUGGAAUCGGUAAACUGGCACCAGCAGAGAAUGCAGCAGCUCGAAUGCAAUGUGCUCAAAAUAAGACUGGUAAUAAUAUGCGUAUUCCUAAAGGAGGAGAUGGCAACUCUGGUGGAGAGGCACAGAAGCCAUCAUUUGACAAAAUGGAAGAGAUUUUCCAUGUAAAGAAUGCAUCCCAAGGAGACAUUCCCUUUUCUGGCCCAUUACAGGUUUCUAGUUCAAGUGGCUUUGCAUGGGCAAAAAGGCAGAAGGACGAUGUGUGUAUAAGAUCCCACAAUGGGUCUAUUUCAAGAGGUCACAUUAACAAUGGAUUGGAACACUCUACUGCAUUGCAAGAAAAGAACAGUUUUGAUUCAAGACGACAUGAUAAUGGGGAUGUCACAUAUGGGAUCCGAAUCAAUUCUAGGGGCCAUGAUUCAUAUGAAAUUUCCAAGCAUGCUUUGCAGAAACAGUGGAGUCAAUUUGAAAGGCCAGAUUCCUUUGAUGCUUCUGAAGGGUACCAUUCACAAGAACUAUCAUUGGCACUUUAUCAAAGAGAGGAAAUGGAAGCAAAGAGAAAUAAUUUGGGUUUUCAAGGUCAAGUAGACAAGGUUGAUUUUUCUGGACCCUUACUAACCCAAUCACAUAGAGUGGAUGAGCUCCUCGAAAGACAUGAACGCCACAUUCGCCAGGCUGUUCGAAAGUCAUGGUUUCAAAGAGGCAAGAAACUUGGGAAGUGAGCAUCACCAGAUUUAUUGGCUUCAUGGAGUACUUUUUGAGGACAGCUGCAUCUCUCUCUUCCUUGUGUGGAGAGGUGAUGGAACCUCACAUGAGUAGUCAGUUAUCAAGAAUCCCAGCCCUCAAGAGCAAGGAUCAUGUUAACUAGUCCUUCCAACUAAUUGGCCUGAUGAACCAUCAGACGAAGUAGAAUAUCCUACACAAGACUGGCGACGAAUGAGAUUUAGCGAGCAGUACAUAGCAAAAAGCAUGAAAAGGGAUGAGGAAGCAAAGAGCGGUCCACAAUGAUGGUUCGCUCUCUCUUCUUUCACCACCCUGCCCCAUGAGAGCAUUAGUUUAUUUGUUUUUAGCUUUAUUCCUUUUUUGUAUUGAAUUAUCUCCUUCCUCUUUUGUUCUUUUUUCCAUUCCCCA